rnacentral:tRNA from 1 species
AGAAACUUAGGAUUACCUAAACCGAAGGCCUUCAAAGCCUUAAACAAGAGUGAAACUCUCUUAGUUUCUGCUA